rnacentral:rRNA from 1 species
UUAAGCGACUAAGCGUACACGGUGGAUGCCCUGGCAGUCAGAGGCGAUGAAGGACGUGCUAAUCUGCGAAAAGCGCCGGCGAGGUGAUAUGAACCUUUGACCCGGCGAUGUCCGAAUGGGGAAACCCAGUGUGUUCCGACACACUAUCGUUAACUGAAUACAUAGGUUAACGAGGCGAACCGGGGGAACUGAAACAUCUAAGUACCCCGAGGAAAAGAAAUCAACCGAGAUUCCCCCAGUAGCGGCGAGCGAACGGGGAGCAGCCCGGAGUCUUAAUCAGCUUGUGUGUUAGUGGAACGGUCUGGAAAGUCCGACGGUACAGGGUGAUAGUCCCGUACACGAAAAUGCACAGGCUGUGAACUCGAAGAGUAGGGCGGGACACGUGGUAUCCUGUCUGAAUAUGGGGGGACCAUCCUCCAAGGCUAAAUACUCCUGACUGACCGAUAGUGAACCAGUACCGUGAGGGAAAGGCGAAAAGAACCCCGGCGAGGGGAGUGAAAAAGAACCUGAAACCGUGUACGUACAAGCAGUGGGAGCCUACUUGUUAGGUGACUGCGUACCUUUUGUAUAAUGGGUCAGCGACUUAUAUUCUGUAGCAAGGUUAACCGUAUAGGGGAGCCGAAGGGAAACCGAGUCUUAACUGGGCGUUAAGUUGCAGGGUAUAGACCCGAAACCCGGUGAUCUAGCCAUGGGCAGGUUGAAGGUUGGGUAACACUAACUGGAGGACCGAACCGACUAAUGUUGAAAAAUUAGCGGAUGACCUGUGGCUGGGGGUGAAAGGCCAAUCAAACCGGGAGAUAGCUGGUUCUCCCCGAAAGCUAUUUAGGUAGCGCCUCGUGAACUCAUCUUCGGGGGUAGAGCACUGUUUCGGCUAGGGGGCCAUCCCGGCUUACCAACCCGAUGCAAACUACGAAUACCGAAGAAUGUUAUCACGGGAGACACACGGCGGGUGCUAACGUCCGUCGUGAAGAGGGAAACAACCCAGACCGCCAGCUAAGGUCCCAAAGUCAUGGUUAAGUGGGAAACGAUGUGGGAAGGCACAGACAGCCAGGAUGUUGGCUUAGAAGCAGCCAUCAUUUAAAGAAAGCGUAAUAGCUCACUGGUCGAGUCGGCCUGCGCGGAAGAUGUAACGGGGCUAAACCAUGCACCGAAGCUGCGGCAGCGACGCUUAUGCGUUGUUGGGUAGGGGAGCGUUCUGUAAGCCGUUGAAGGUGGCCUGUGAGGGUUGCUGGAGGUAUCAGAAGUGCGAAUGCUGACAUAAGUAACGAUAAAGCGGGUGAAAAGCCCGCUCGCCGGAAGACCAAGGGUUCCUGUCCAACGUUAAUCGGGGCAGGGUGAGUCGACCCCUAAGGCGAGGCCGAAAGGCGUAGUCGAUGGGAAACAGGUUAAUAUUCCUGUACUUGGUGUUACUGCGAAGGGGGGACGGAGAAGGCUAUGUUAGCCGGGCGACGGUUGUCCCGGUUUAAGCAUGUAGGCGGAGGUUCCAGGUAAAUCCGGUACCUUUUAACGCUGAGGUGUGAUGACGAGGCACUACGGUGCUGAAGUAACAAAUGCCCUGCUUCCAGGAAAAGCCUCUAAGCAUCAGGUAACACGAAAUCGUACCCCAAACCGACACAGGUGGUCAGGUAGAGAAUACCAAGGCGCUUGAGAGAACUCGGGUGAAGGAACUAGGCAAAAUGGUGCCGUAACUUCGGGAGAAGGCACGCUGAUAUGUAGGUGAAGCCCCUGCGGGUGGAGCUGAAAUCAGUCGAAGAUACCAGCUGGCUGCAACUGUUUAUUAAAAACACAGCACUGUGCAAACACGAAAGUGGACGUAUACGGUGUGACGCCUGCCCGGUGCCGGAAGGUUAAUUGAUGGGGUUAGCGGUAACGCGAAGCUCUUGAUCGAAGCCCCGGUAAACGGCGGCCGUAACUAUAACGGUCCUAAGGUAGCGAAAUUCCUUGUCGGGUAAGUUCCGACCUGCACGAAUGGCGUAAUGAUGGCCAGGCUGUCUCCACCCGAGACUCAGUGAAAUUGAACUCGCUGUGAAGAUGCAGUGUACCCGCGGCAAGACGGAAAGACCCCGUGAACCUUUACUAUAGCUUGACACUGAACACUGGUCCUUGAUGUGUAGGAUAGGUGGGAGGCUUUGAAGCGUGGACGCCAGUCUGCGUGGAGCCGCCCUUGAAAUACCACCCUUUAAUGGCUGGUGUUCUAACGUAGACCCGUAAUCCGGGUUGCGGACAGUGUCUGGUGGGUAGUUUGACUGGGGCGGUCUCCUCCCAAAGAGUAACGGAGGAGCACGAAGGUUAGCUAAUCCUGGUCGGACAUCAGGAGGUUAGUGCAAUGGCAUAAGCUAGCUUGACUGCGAGAGUGACGGCUCGAGCAGGUGCGAAAGCAGGUCAUAGUGAUCCGGUGGUUCUGAAUGGAAGGGCCAUCGCUCAACGGAUAAAAGGUACUCCGGGGAUAACAGGCUGAUACCGCCCAAGAGUUCAUAUCGACGGCGGUGUUUGGCACCUCGAUGUCGGCUCAUCACAUCCUGGGGCUGAAGUAGGUCCCAAGGGUAUGGCUGUUCGCCAUUUAAAGUGGUACGCGAGCUGGGUUUAGAACGUCGUGAGACAGUUCGGUCCCUAUCUGCCGUGGGCGCUGGAGAAUUGAGGGGGGCUGCUCCUAGUACGAGAGGACCGGAGUGGACGCAUCACUGGUGUUCGGGUUGUCAUGCCAAUGGCACUGCCCGGUAGCUAAAUGCGGAAGAGAUAAGUGCUGAAAGCAUCUAAGCACGAAACUUGCCCCGAGAUGAGUUCUCCCUGAGACUAUAAGUCUCCUGAAGGAACGUUGAAGACGACGACGUUGAUAGGUCGGGUGUGUAAGCGCAGCGAUGCGUUGAGCUAACCGAUACUAAUGAACCGUGAGGCUUAACCU